UAAUCGGCCCUUUUCAGGGCCAAAAGUUUUUAUCCCGAGGAACUUU
rfam:Cerapachys biroi unplaced genomic scaffold scaffold577, whole genome shotgun sequence.